rnacentral:rRNA from 1 species
GACGAACGCUGGCGGCGUGCCUAAUACAUGCAAGUAGAACGCUGAAGAGAGGAGCUUGCUCUUCUUGGAUGAGUCGCGAACGGGUGAGUAACGCGUAGGUAACCUGCCUUGUAGCGGGGGAUAACUAUUGGAAACGAUAGCUAAUACCGCAUAACAAUGGAUGACACAUGUCAUUUAUUUGAAAGGGGCAAUUGCUCCACUACAAGAUGGACCUGCGUUGUAUUAGCUAGUAGGUGAGGUAAUGGCUCACCUAGGCGACGAUACAUAGCCGACCUGAGAGGGUGGUCGGCCACACUGGGACUGAGACACGGCCCAGACUCCUACGGGAGGCAGCAGUAGGGAAUCUUCGGCAAUGGGGGCAACCCUGACCGAGCAACGCCGCGUGAGUGAAGAAGGGUUUCGGAUCGUAAAGCUCUGUUGUAAGUCAAGAACGAGUGUGAGAGUGGAAAGUUCACACUGUGACGGUAGCUUACCAGAAAGGGACGGCUAACUACGUG